rnacentral:rRNA from 1 species
CGGAGGAUCCAAGCGUUAUCCGGAAUCAUUGGGUUUAAAGGGUCCGUAGGCGGUUUUGUAAGUCAGUGGUGAAAGCCCAUCGCUCAACGGUGGAACGGCCAUUGAUACUGCAAGACUUGAAUUACUAGGAAGUAACUAGAAUAUGUAGUGUAGCGGUGAAAUGCUUAGAUAUUACACGGAAUACCAAUUGCGAAGGCAGGUUACUACUAGUGGAUUGACGCUGAUGGACGAAAGCGUGGGGAGCGAACAGGAUUAGAUACCCUGGUAGUCCACGCCGUAAACGAUGGAUACUAGCUGUUCGGAGCAAUCUGAGUGGCUAAGCGAAAGUGAUAAGUAUCCCACCUGGGGAGUACGUUCGCAAGAAUG